AGCGAAAUUCAUUGUCGAGUAAGUUUCGACCUGCACGAAAGGUGUAAUGAUCUGGGCGCUGUCUCGGAGAGAGACUCGGUGAAAUAGACAUGUCCGUGAAGAUGCGGACUACCAAUACUAGGACAGAAAGACCCUAUGAAGCUUGACUGUAUCCUGGAAUUGAACUCGGGCUUUUCUUGCGCAGCCUAGGUGGGAGGCGUUGAAGGUCCCCUUCCGGGGGGGCUGGAGCCAUCAUUGAGAGACCACUCUGGAAGAGCUAGAGUUCUAAUGGUGAUCUUUGAAACAAGACACUUGACAGUUUCAGGUGGGCAGUUUUCCUGGGGCGGGAACCUCCCAAAGCGUAACGGAGGUGUGCAAAGGUUCUCUCAGUCUGGACGGAAAUCAGACAUUGAGUGUAAAGGCAAAAGAGAGCUUGACUGUAAGACCAACAAGUCGAGCAGGGGCGAAAGCCGGCCUUAGUGAUCCGACGGUGCCGUGUGGAAGGGCCGUCGCUCAACGGACAAAAGUUACUCUAGGGAUAACAGGCUGAUCUUCCCCAAGAGUUCAUAUCGACGGGAAGGUUUGGCACCUCGAUGUCGGCUCAUCACAUCCUGGAGCGGUAGUACGUUCCAAGGGUUGGGCUGUUCGCCCAUUAAAGUGGUACGUGAGCUGGGUUCAGAACGUCGUGA
rnacentral:rRNA from 1 species